AUGGAGUCGUCGUCGGUGGCAGAAGUGGCGGAGAACAAGGCGACCGUGGUUGCGCAAAUAAAAAGUAUACUGGCAGAUACACUUGAAGUUGGCAUACAAUCCAUGACAAGAAGCCUUUGGUUAGGCGGUGGAAGCAGUUGGUGUGGUUCUCAAAAAGUGUACCUAAUUAAGAAUGCAUGUGUAAGCUGGUUCGUUGAUCUCAACGACAAGUUCACUACCAAAUGUAGGGCACGGCCACUUGGGCUUUGAAAGAGGAUGUGUUGUGUUGUGAUGUGCAUGUUGAUGCUUCGGAUCAUUUAUUCAUUCUAUGUUGUUUUUCUUUUUCUUUUUUCUUUUUUUUUUUAAUAUUUUUAUUAUUAAAAGGAUUUGGGACGUUGUUUUGAACAUGUGCUUGAUGAAAGGGAAGUUGGUGACCUGUGUUAUGACUUAUGAGUAGUUUUUUGCAACAUGUUGCUGAUAUCAGAUUAUAUAAGAAUGUAAACAACUCUAUUUAGAAAUAUAGUGGAUUUUAUUUCCAUUUAACAAUAAAUAUAAAAAAAUUUAGAUAGUUGUCACGUUUCAAAACAAUGUUGAAAAGUAGCGUCUUGAGUGUCUAAAACUCGAGUUCCAUGAUAAAACUCGAGUUUUUAAGUCUCGCUUUGUAAGCGGAUUGCUCCGAGGCGGAAAAAAAUUCAAGUAAAAAUCAAGUUUUAAAGGCUUGAGUUCCGAAAAACGCCGCUAUAGGGACUUAAAAACGUCACUAUAGAGCUAUAGGGCUCACUGUAUGACACUUAGAAAAAAUUUUGCAGGAAAACGUCGCUAUAGGGCUAUAAAAUGUCACUAUAGAGCUUAAAAAUGCCACUAUAGGGCUUCCUGAACCUAGCAUGGGACUUACAAUUUUUUUUUUUUGCAGGAAAACGCCGCUAUAGGACUUUAAAACGUCACUAUAGGACUUAAAAAUGCCACUAUAGGACUUAAAAAUGCCACUAUAGGAGCGAGAAAACUAAAAAUUUUUUUGCAUGGAACUCGAGUUUCGAAAACUCGAGAUCUUUGUGGCAUUUUCAAAUAUGAAUCUCGAGUUUCUAAAACUCGAGAUGUCUAGUUUCCCUUAUAGUUUCAAGCGUUGCCUAACUAACCAUAUACAACUCUUUCUCACAGUUAUUCUGCACGUUACCCCGAAAUAUAGCUAUAAAUGUGUAGUUCAUGGAGGCUUUUUUUGAGAAUCAAUGCUUGUUUUCUUUUUGUUGAAACAAUUCACUCCUCUUUCCUAACAAUUUAAGUUUUUUGAACAAUGCAUAAUUUUCUCCCAAGGUGUUUAAGUUACGAGGGCUAAGAGCAUUAGUAUUAGUGGAGGCAUUUUGCUAAAAUGCUGAAUUUACCAUCAAAAUAUAGCAUAAGUGGGCUGCAUUAGUGGAGCCAUAUAAAUAUAUAUAUAUAUAUAUAUAUAUAUAUUUGCAUGGUGGUUUAGUUAUUGUUUAUUGUAGUAGAUAUAUUAUUUUAUUAUGUUGUUUAUAUUAUUUUAUUGUGUUAAAUGCUAAAAUAAAACCAUUGAUGUUGGACCUUUUGUAAAAUAAGGUGGUAAGAUAGAUAAAGUAAUUUUUUGUAGUGUCAAAUUGCUAAAUUUUUGGCGCCACUAAUGUUGAUGCUCUAACCAUGUAAUAGUUACACAUUGUGUGUACAUGUACCAAGUAUGUAACAAGAAUUAACCUUAUGUGACACACCGGUAUAGGCCUUAGUGGAGGAAGGAUUGAAUGACUAUAGUGGCAAUGUUUCAGGAGUGGAAGACAUUGGUUUCAAAAUAGGCUGGUCUGAAACAAAAAACAAGAAUAAAGGCUUGAAGAAGCCAAAAGACAAGGGUGAAGGGGCAGUGGUUAAUGAUGGGAAGGAGGGUCAUGUUUUGGCUUAA
rnacentral:sRNA from 1 species